rnacentral:sRNA from 1 species
CACUUCAGAAACCCAUAUUCACACACAUGUGCACAGAUUCACAUGAAAAGACCCCCGUGCACUCAGGCCCCCAGAGCCGAGGCAUUGUGCAGCCCCACAGCAGCCACCUUCACAGCUGCUAACAGCCCCUGUGCCGUGCCUGCUGCGGGCGCUGUCUGCUCUAGGAGGGGCUCUUGUUUUCAUGGAACCCAGUGGUGAAGAGACACCCCACUGGCCCUUCUCUUCCCCACCUCCUGUUUCUUCAUUCCCCGUCAUUUACCUGCUCUUUCUGUCUGGUCAAGAAAGCACGUCUCGGCCGGGCCCAGUGGCUCAGCCAGGCACAGUGGCUCAUACCUUCUAACCAGCACUUUAGGAGUCUGAAGUAGAAGGAUUGCUUGAGCCCAGCAGUUUGUGACCAGCCUGGGCAACAUAGGGAGACCCUAUCUCUACAAAUAAUAAAGAGUAGCUGGGAGUGGUGGUACACACCCGCAGUCCCAGCUACAUGGGAGGCUGGGGUAGGAGGAUUGCUUAAGCCUGGGAGGUCAAGGGUGCAGAGAGCCGUGAUUGCACCACUGCACUGUGACCUGGGUGACAGAGCAAAACCCUGUCUCCAGAAAAAGAAAGAAAGAAAGCAGGUCUCAAAAGCAAUGGAUGGGUAUUCUUUAACUACAGUGUAGCAGACUCUUUAUUAAAAAUGAAAUUUGAUGUUUAUUUUUAGUCAUGUUCAACCCACUUUAUUCUCAGAUAUAGUCUUCCUGUGAAUAACUUUCUUUUCAGAAUGGAGGAACCAAUCUCUGUGCUGUGGAUGACUCCAACGACCAUGUGCUCUCUGUAUGGGACUGGCAGAAAGAAGAAAAACUGGCAGAUGUGAAGUGCUCUAAUGAAGCUGUGUUUGCUGCGGAUUUCCACCCCACGGACACCAACAUCAUAGUUACCUGUGGAAAAUCGCAUCUCUACUUUUGGACACUAGAAGGAAGCUCCCUUAAUAAGAAGCAAGGAUUAUUUGAGAAACAAGAAAAGCCAAAGUUUGUCCUCUGUGUGACUUUCUCUGAAAACGGUGACACCAUUACUGGAGAUUCAAGUGGCAACAUCUUAGUAUGGGGAAAAGGUACAAAUCGAAUAAGCUAUGCAGUUCAAGGGGCCCAUGAGGGUGGCAUUUUUGCACUUUGUAUGUUAAGAGAUGGCACGCUGGUGUCAGGAGGUGGGAAAGACCGAAAGCUCAUUUCUUGGAGCGGAAACUAUCAAAAACUUCGUAAAACGGAGAUUCCAGAACAGUUUGGUCCAAUACGGACAGUGGCCGAGGGGAAAGGCGAUGUGAUCUUGAUUGGCACAACUCGAAACUUUGUCCUGCAGGGCACUCUGUCAGGGGACUUCACACCCAUUACUCAGGGUCACACUGAUGAGCUCUGGGGACUGGCCAUCCAUGCCUCAAAACCUCAGUUCUUGACCUGUGGGCAUGACAAGCAUGCCACUCUCUGGGACGCUGUGGGUCACCGUCCCGUCUGGGACAAAAUAAUAGAGGUAAACAUGCACAUUACAUUUCCAUUUUUCUUACAGAAAUUCAUCUGGAACAUGUUUAUUUAUUUUUUGCAUGAAAUCAACAGUGAUAUAAAGUUGUCCCAAAGCAAAUGUUAUUUAUCUAUUUAGAGUUGCCUUAACAUUUCAAUUGCAUUCAACAGUGUUACUUUUAACAUUGCCUCAAGUGGCCUCAGCCGUGUAAUUUUGAAGUUUACUGUUGAAAUUUUCUGACAACAAGUUGUUCUUUCUGAGUUCAUUGUCAGAUUUUCUGAGUACAGUCUCUCAACCAUCCUAAGAGCUGAAAAAUACUUGUUAUAAGCCUGCAUUCUAUUUACAGUGUACCCUUUGAAUGGGAAUUUACAAGCUGUACUAAACACACGAUUGAAUAUAUCUCUACAUUUUGAGUUUGAUGGUAAAGUGAACUGUCGUUUGAAAGUCAGCUGGGCACGGUGGCUCAUGCCUGUAAUCCCAGCACUUUGGGAGGCCAAGGCAGGCAGAUCACCUGAGGUUGGGAGCUCGAGACCAGCCUGACCAAAUGGAGAAACCCCAUCUCUACUAAAAAUACAAAAUUAGCCGGGCAUGGUGGUGCAUGCCUGUAGUCCUAGCUCCUUGGGAGGCUGAGGCAGGAGAAUCGCUUGAACCCAGAAGGUGGAGGUUACAGUCAGCCAAGAUCACGCCAUUGCACUCCAGCCUGGGCAACAAGAGCGAAAUUCUGUCUC